CACGUAGGGCGCAAGCGUUGUCCGGAAUUAUUGGGCGUAAAGAGCUCGUAGGCGGUCUGUUGCGUCUGCUGUGAAAACCCGGGGCUUAACCCCUGGCUUGCAGUGGAUACGGACAGACUAGAGGUAGGUAGGGGAGAAUGGAAUUCCCGGUGUAGCGGUGAAAUGCGCAGAUAUCAGGAGGAACACCGGUGGCGAAGGCGGCUUCCUGGACCGACACUGACGCUGAGGCGCGAAAGCUAGGGGAGCAAACGGG
rnacentral:rRNA from 1 species